GGUUCGGAACUGAGUCUAGUUCCUUCGAUAUCAGUGUAAUCUAAUAAUCUAAUAAUGAGUACAUUACACCAAACAGCAGAUUUCACGAUUAUUAGAUUACACUGAUAUCGAAGGAACUAGACUCAGUUCCGAAAUAUC
rnacentral:miRNA from 1 species